GAGUUUGAUCGUGGCUCAGGAUGAACGCUGGCGGCGCAUUUAAGACAUGCAAGUCGAACGAAAACUUUUCAUCGAACGGAAAUGAAGAUUUAUCAGAUUUGAAGUUCACCGAAAAGUUUUAGUGGCGGACGGGUGAGUAAUACGUAGAUAAUCUGCCUUUUAGAGGGAAAUAACAAGAAGAAAUUUUUGCUAGUGUCCCAUAAGACCACACUAUGGCAUCAUAGAGUGAUCAAAGGAGAAAUCCGCUAGAAGAUGAGUCUACGGCUGAUUAGCCAGUUGGUGGGUAAGAGCCUACAAAGCUAUGAUCAGUAGCCGAGCUGAGAGGCUGGCC
rnacentral:rRNA from 1 species